GACGAACGCUGGCGGCGUGCUUAACACAUGCAAGUCGAGCGGAGCGGCGAACGGGUGAGUAACGCGUCAGUAACUGCCCCCCUCUCUGGGAUACCAGUUGGAAACGGCUGCUCAUACCGGCUAUUGGGGUUUGACUCGCGCCCUAUCAGCUUGUGGGUGGGGUGGUGGCCCACCAAGGCGACGACGGGUAGCCGGCCUGAGAGGGCGGACGGCCACAUUGGGCUGAGAGACGGCCCCAACUCCGACGGGAUGCAGUAGUGGGGAAUAUUGCACAAGGGGGGAAACACUGAUGCAGCAACGCCGCGUGCGGGAUGACGGCCUUCGGGUUGUAAACCGCUUUCAGCCAUGACGCGUUAGUGGCAGAAGAAGCACCGGCUAACUACGUGCCAGCCGCCGCGGUAAUUC
rnacentral:rRNA from 1 species